rnacentral:rRNA from 1 species
GGGCCCGCACAAGCGGUGGAGCAUGUGGUUUAAUUCGAUGAUACGCGAGGAACCUUACCAGGGCUUAAAUGUAGUGGGACAGGUCUAGAGAUAGACCCUUCUUCGGACUCAUUACAAGGUGCUGCAUGGUUGUCGUCAGCUCGUGCCGUGAGGUGUCAGGUUAAGUCCUAUAACGAGCGCAACCCCUAUCGUUAGUUGCCAGCGGUUAGGCCGGGAACUCUAAGGAGACUGCCAGUGCAAACUGUGAGGAAGGUGGGGAUGACGUCAAAUCAUCACGGCCCUUACGUCCUGGGCUACACACGUGCUACAAUGGCCGGUACAGAGAGCAGCCACUUCGCAAGAAGGAGCGAA